rnacentral:rRNA from 1 species
UACGAAGGGUGCAAGCGUUGCUCGGAAUUAUUGGGCGUAAAGGGUUGGUAGGUGGUCUUGUUUGUCUAAGGUGAAAUCCCAUGGCUUAACUGUGGAAGUGCCUUAGAAACGGCAAGACUAGAGUCCUAGAGGGGUUUGUGGAAUUCCUGGUGUAGCGGUGAAAUGCGUAGAUAUCAGGAGGAACACCUGUGGCGAAAGCGGCGCACUGGACCACAACUGACGCUGAGGCGCGAAAGCUAGGGGAGCAAACAGG